CGUGAGUGGGAGCCCCAGGCUGUCCCAGGGUCCCGGUGCUGACUCAGGGUGGGAGUGCGAGCCCCAGGCUGUGUGUGGGGGUCCCGGUGCUGACUCUUUCUCCGCAGAUGUCACUGCCCCCUCCCACUUCCUGCAGCAUGGCGUCGCCCCAGCCCCACAUCCAGGCUGUAGUCACCGAGAGGCAUCGGAUGGGCGAGUGUCCCGUGUGGGAGGAGGCCACAGGGCAGCUGGUCUACGUGGACAUCCUCGCGCAGACCGUGUGCCGCUGGGGCCCGCACAAGGCGCAGGUGCAGACGGUGCGGCUGGGAGACCCUGUGGGCUGCGUGGCCCUGCGCGACAAGGACCCGGGCAGCUAUGUGGUGGCCGCGGGCACGCGCGUGGGACUGCUGGACUGGGACUCGCAGGACGUGCAGUGGGUGGCGCAGCUGGACGGACAGACGCCUGGCAUCCGGGUCAAUGACGGCAAGGUGGACCCCGCGGGGCGCUUCGUGACAGGCACCAUGCCCGAGCCCCUGGCCCCCGGGGUGUGGGAACCCGCGCAGGGCGCCCUCUACUCGCUCCACGGGGAUCACGAGGUGCGGAAGCUCGCCGACCGGCUGGGCAUCUCCAACGGGCUGGACUGGUCACCCGACCAGCGCACGUUCUACCACGUGGACAGCCUGGACUACGCCGUGUACGCCUAUGACUAUGACGUGCAGGCGGGCACCAUCGAGAACCGCCGGCUCCUGCUCCAGCUGCCGCGGGGCGGGGCGAUGCCCGACGGGCUGUGCGUGGACAGCGCAGGGUCGCUGUGGGUGGCGUGCAUCGACGGGGGCCGCGUGAUCCGCGUGGACCCGCACACCGGGUCACGAGUGGGAACCCUGGAAUUCCCCGUGUCCCGCGUCACUUCCUGCUGCUUCGGUGGCGCUGACUAUGCGGAUCUCUUCGUGACGUCAGCAGCCGACGGGCUGAGCGCGGAGCAGCUGCGGGGGGAGCCGCAGGCGGGUCACGUGUUCAAGGUCUCCGGCCUGGGCGUUCGCGGACGCGCGUGUUUCCCCUUCGUAGGCUGAGGCCAAGUCCUGUCCAGGUGACCCCCGUGACCCCAUGACCCCUGCGAACCCCCGUGACCCCCAUGACCCCUGCGAACCCCCGUGACUCCCGUGUCCCCCAUGACCCCCAUCAUAAAUCCUGCUGUGUUUCCACGAGUGUCCGCGUCAGUGGGGUCAAGGAUCAUGGGGUCACUGCAGACCACGGAGAGGACUGAGCCGGGUCCUGAUGCUAAGUACACAGUACACAGAACCUGGGGUCCGAGGACUCAGCACAGCACUUGUGCUAAGUACACAGCUAAGUACUCAGGAGGACUUAGACAAGCAGUGCACAGACUGGAACAGAAACUGAGUCUGUCCUUUUCUGCAGCACAGCACUCAUGCAGAGUACACAGUACACAGUACCCGGGUCCGAGUACUCAGCACAGCACUUGUGCUAAGUAUAUACAGGACACAGCUAAGGACUCAUGAAGACUUAGAUAAGCACUCAGACAGGAAACAGAUGGGCUGGGCGUCCUGUUCUGCAGUGAGUACUCAGCAGAGCACUCAUACUAAGUACACAGUACACAGCUAAGUAGUCACAAGGACUUAGACAAGCACUCACAGUCAGGAAAUAGAUGGGUGGGGCGGGUUCAAUACUCAGUACAGAGACGUGAACACUCAUGCUGAGUACACAGUACACAGUACUCACGGCCCGACUACUCAGCACAGCUCUCGUGCUAUGUACACAGUACAUAGUUAAGGACUCAUGAGGACUUAGACAAGCACUCACACACAGGGGCGGGGCCGUCCUGUUCAGCGGGUUCAGCAGGUACUCAGUACAGCACUCAUGCUAUAUACACAGUACUCAGUUAACUACUCACGAGGUCUUAGACCAACACCACGCAGCUCUUCAACCUUCUUAGUUUUCAGUACUCAGCAUGGUGACGUGAGCACUCAGGAGGACUGAGACAAGCACUCACAGCUCUUCAACCUUUUCGGUUUUCAGUCAAGUUGUGCAUCUGAUACCAUGAACUUGGUUACAAGGGGUGACUCGGGGUCAUCAGCCCUGGGGAUCAAACACUCCAAACACAGACACUGUUGUCCCCGUGUCCCCCGCCCCCACGCCCUGUCCCCCCGCCUUUUCCCCCCCCCGUGUCCCCUCCCUCUGUCUCCCCCCAGUCUCCCUGCCGUGCCCCCCUGUCCCCUCCCUCAUGUCCCCCCUUCCCCCAUCUCUUCCCUCUCUGUGUCCCCCGCCCGUGUAGCCUCCCCCCCCCCAUCCCCCAGCCACGGGAUCCCCAGGACUCAGCUGGGAACAGAGGGGUUAGAGUGGUAACAGCCGGUCACAGCCAGUCUGACCCCAGGACAGAGCAGGGGCGGGAGGGACUGACGUCACCCUGAGGACCAGGCAGGGCGGUGCUGACGUCACAGCUCAGCACACAGUAGUGUCCUGACUGUGUGCGGCGUUACCGCCACGCCUCCCCACAUCGAGGGGCGGGUCACCACGGCCACGCCCCCACAGGGACCUUGUCACUCAGGGCACUCAGCAGGGCACAGGGACAGGAGGGUGACACACAGGCCUGGUGUCACCAGCCACACACCCGCGGGGACUGAGCCCGUCUCUGUCGGAAUGUGUAACCAGCCUGGUGUUUCAUCCUAGCAGUAGUAACUCUGACUAAGACAGUGUGGUUUGAAUCUACAACCUCCAAGGUCUGCCUUGCAUCUAACAAACACUGUCAUUCGAUGUUGCUGCAUGGUUUGCUACUGAGGAAGCUACUUUUUCUUUAAAGACAGGGUUUUUCUUUGUAGCCCUUGCAGGACCUCGCUCUGUCUAUCAGGCUGGUCUCUAAUGACAGAGAUGGCCUGCUCUGACUCCUGGGUGCUUCAAUUAAAGGCAUGUACCAACACUGCCCAGCUGGAAAUACUGUUUUAUCCCUGUCCCGUUGAUGCUGGGGCUGCUUCCACUGUUUAGCUGUUUAAAGAAGGCCACUUUGUUCAAGCUGGUACAUACAGCCUGCGCUACAAAUGUGACAGUUUUUCCUGUCAUAUCACAGCUACAUUCCAGCAUGUGCAUGCCUGGACCUUCCUGGAUGAUGCUCUUGUCUCUAGUGCAUGGGACUCACUAUGCUUCUCAGGUGUUCUCCACUGGUGACCUGGAAGCCUUUGCAAUAUGAGGGUGUUUUUUCUGCUGUGCUUGGACAUGUGUCCACAUGUCCAUUGGUCUCCUUUUAGUUUUGCUGUCUGAAGAUCCAGGAAGGAAGUAGCAGCUAAGAGGGUCAUGGAUGGACCUGGGAAGAAGGACAGAGGAAGUACAGACUGCAAGAAUUUGAACACAGCCAUCCAGGCUGCAGUCAUGACAGCCUUCCUUUACCUGUGGUGGCCAGCUGUGCACACCUCCCUGGAGAUUAGUCAACCUCUUUAGCUCACAGUGAGCCUGGACAACAGGAGCUCCCCACUACAUCAUCUGCUGUAGCAUGAAUCUUAAAAGGUCUUAUUAAUAAAAACAAACCCAGUGCCAGUUAUUGGGAUGAAUGCUGGAAGAUCAGAGAAGCAGAACAAGCCACAGCCACCUCACCUCACCAACUCCU